rnacentral:rRNA from 1 species
AGUAAUGCAUAGGAAUCUACCCGGUAGUGGGGGAUAACCUGGGGAAACCCAGGCUAAUACCGCAUACGUCCUACGGGAGAAAGCGGGGGCUCUUCGGACCUCGCGCUAUUGGAUGAGCCUAUGUCGGAUUAGCUGGUUGGUGAGGUAACGGCUCACCAAGGCGACGAUCCGUAGCUGGUCUGAGAGGAUGAUCAGCCACAUCGGGACUGAGACACGGCCCGAACUCCUACGGGAGGCAGCAGUGGGGAAUAUUGGACAAUGGGCGCAAGCCUGAUCCAGCCAUGCCGCGUGUGUGAAGAAGGCUUUCGGGUUGUAAAGCACUUUCAGUGAGGAAGAAGGCCUCGCGGCCAAUACCCGCGAGGAAGGACAUCACCCACAGCGGG